GAUGAACGCUGGCGGCGUGCCUAAUACAUGCAAGUCGAGCGAACGGACGAGAAGCUUGCUUCUCUGAUGUUAGCGGCGGACGGGUGAGUAACACGUGGAUAACCUACCUAUAAGACUGGGAUAACUUCGGGAAACCGGAGCUAAUACCGGAUGAUAUUUUGAACCGCAUGGUUCAAAAGUGAAAGACGGUCUUGCUGUCACUUAUAGAUGGAUCCGCGCUGCAUUAGCUAGUUGGUAAGGUAACGGCUUACCAAGGCAACGAUGCAUAGCCGACCUGAGAGGGUGAUCGGCCACACUGGAACUGAGACACGGUCCAGACUCCUACGGGAGGCAGCAGUGGGGAAUCUUCCGCAAUGGGCGAAAGCCUGACGGAGCAACGCCGCGUGAGUGAUGAAGGUCUUCGGAUCGUAAAACUCUGUUAUUAGGGAAGAACAUAUGUGUAAGUAACUGUGCACAUCUUGACGGUACCUAAUCAGAAAGCCACGGCUAACUACGUG
rnacentral:rRNA from 1 species